AUGCGCAGUGUUACGAACGAUAACUUCCAAAGAUCUUCUCCUGUGCCACGGAUUAUGAGGCCGCUUGUUAUUUCAGAGGUUUUGCAUGAGGUGAAAUUGAAAUGAAGUUAAAAGAAGGUGAACGGUGUGAAAAAGAAGACAUUCGGUGAUGCUGCAGGCACGUCUGUUACACAAUGAGUUCAUCAGUUAUUGCAGGAAUGACGGGGCCUUUGUGCCCAGAGCAGCCGAGUGACCUCUACCAGUCCUCAGGUGACACUGUCGUUCUGAAAUAUGGAAUCGUCUCGAUUGUCUCACCUUCAGUCAUCCCACAGUCGUCUGUCUGUACGCGACAGAGCCAGUUCACAGUACUGGACUUGUUUUUCUGCAUCUCAUUACAAUUCGUGUGAGGAGGUGACUUCUGCAAAAAGAAACCUCAGAGAGGAAUUAGAGAAGAUCUUCAAAAAAUUCCGUGCUGAUAACUUGAAGGAGUUCAAGAAUUUAUUGUCUAACAAAUGUCCCAUCAGUUUUCCCCGUGUUGAAAUGGAGAAAGUGGGAGCGUGUGACCUGCAAACCCUCAUCGUCAGUUACUUUGGAAGAGACAAAACAGCAGAUGAGGUUGCAAAGAUCUUGGAGACAAUGGAUUUAAAGGGUUUAGCAUCUCCUUUGAAAAACAUUAAAGACGGUAUGCAGAUUUAUUUAACACUCACCCUGCUUAGUUUUGUUCUUUGUAAAUUACACUUUAUUGCUAUAUUUUUAAAAAAAAAAAUUCCCCAUUCUCCCCCCUUUUUGCGGGCGGUCUUACUCCUUCAAGCUUGGGUCCUCUACCAGAGGCCUGGGAGCUUGAGGGUUCUGCGCAGUAUCUUAGCUGUUCUUAAGACCGCGCACUUCUGGACAGAGAUCUCGGAUGUUGUUCCUGGGAUCUGCUGGAGCCACUCUCCCAGCUUAGGGAUCACAGCCCCAAGAAAUGUGUGUGUGUGUGUGUGUGUAUGUAUAUAUAUAUAUAUAUAUAAAAUAGGCAAAACACCCCAAAAUUUGCUUUAUUUCAUUGAUUUUUUUUUUUUAAAGUAACUCCUGGAUUUGAGGUUAUUCGGCACUAUUUUUGUUCUUUGUAAAUAUUUCAAAUGACGUGAAGUGGUGUUCUACAUGGCACACACAUACAAUAUAUUGUCGUAGAAAACAACGCAGCAUGAUUUAAUAUAUUUAUGUUAUAAACUCAAAGAAAUAUCUCUGGACAGUGACAGUGAUCUUGGCAAGACUUCAUCACUGAAACAAAAAGUUCUAUUGCAAAUACCAGAAAUGCAAUGAAAACGGAGCUGUGCAAUGUAAAGAAAGAAUUUGAAGAAGAAGUGAACAAUAUCGAGAGGGGCGCGGUGGCGCAGUGGGUUGGACCGCAGUCCUGCUCUCCGGUGGGUCUGGGGUUCAAGUCCCGCUUGGGGUGCCUUGCGACGGACUGGCGUCCCGUCCUGGGUGUGUCCCCUUCCUCUCUCCAGCCUUACGCCCUGUGUUGCCGGGUAGGCUCCGGUUCCCCGUGACCCCGUAUGGGACAAGCGGUUCUGAAAAUGUGUGUGUGUGUGUGUGUGUGUGAACAAUAUCAAGAUAAAGAUGAAAGAAGAAAGAAAUAAAAUUGAAAAUGAGUUGGAGACA
ensembl:lncRNA